rnacentral:rRNA from 1 species
GCUAGGUGUUAGGGGGUUUCCGCCCCUUAGUGCUGAAGUUAACGCAUUAAGCACUCCGCCUGGGGAGUACGGCCGCAAGGCUGAAACUCAAAAGAAUUGACGGGGGCCCGCACAAGCGGUGGAGCAUGUGGUUUAAUUCGACGCAACGCGAAGAACCUUACCAGGUCUUGACAUCCUCUGCAAUCGGUAGAGAUACCGAGUUCCCUUCGGGGACAGAGUGACAGGUGGUGCAUGGUUGUCGUCAGCUCGUGUCGUGAGAUGUUGGGUUAAGUCCCGCAACGAGCGCAACCCUUGAUCUUAGUUGCCAGCAUUUAGUUGGGCACUCUAAGGUGACUGCCGGUGACAAACCGGAGGAAGGUGGGGAUGACGUCAAAUCAUCAUGCCCCUUAUGACCUGGGCUACACACGUGCUACAAUGGAUGGAACAAAGGGAAGCAAAACCGCGAGGUCAAGCAAAUCCCAUAAAACCAUUCUCAGUUCGGAUUGCAGGCUGCAACUCGCCUGCAUGAAGCCGGAAUCGCUAGUAAUCGCGGAUCAGCAUGCCGCGGUGAAUACGUUCCCGGGCCUUGUACACACCGCCCGUCACACCACGAGAGUUGGUAACACCCGAAGUCGGUGAGGUAACCUUUUGGAGCCAGCCGCCGAAGGUGGGACCAAUGAUUGGGGUGAAGUCGUAC